UGCACCCCGCCACAGACCGCCCCUGCCACCGGCCGCGCCCCACCAACGCCGGGCCUCGUUUCUCGCCCCGUCACUGCCAGGGAGCGGACGCCCCAACACCGGCCAGGCGCCACCAAUGCCAGACCUCCUAUCUCGCCCCAUCACCGUCCUGGAGCGGACACCCCACCACCGCCCGCGCCCCACCAUCGGCAUCCAAGUGGCAUCCAGGCUCGAGGUACAAGGUCUUCACACCUCUCUUAACUCACUGUAUGUGUUUUGUGAAGAGGUAGUUAGAGUUUGAUACAUUCACAAGUUAAGCUGAAGGAAUAUAUGCUAAACAAGUGAGGUAUGUUGUCUCCGUAUCAAAAUAUAAGAUGUUUUUGUAUACUCCUUUUGUAUCAAAAAAUGUCUUAUAUUUUGAUAUAAAAGAAGUAUUUGCUAGGCAAGACAAUUUAUUUAUCAUAAUAAAGCAUGUUAAUACAUUCAUUUCUUCUACAUCAACAUAAUUUUGGAAUGUAUAGCUCCUGGCUGCCGAACACAUGAGGUUGAAUUUUGUUAUCCACAUGAUUUGGUCUUCUUAUUGAUAGCAACGUGAACGUUCAGAAAUAUUGUUUUCGUUCAUUUGCCUGUUCUUAUAGUGGACAUGAAACGUCUUAUAUUUUGAUACAGAGGAAGUAUUUGCUAGGCAAGACAACUUAUUUAUCGUAAUAAACCAUGUUAAUACAUUCAUUUCUGCUGCAUGAACGUAAUUUUGUAAUGUAUAGCUCUAGACUACCGAAGACAUGAGGUUGAAUUUGGUUAUCCACAACAUGAUUUGGUAUUCUUAUUGAUAGCAACGCGACCUUCACAAAUAUUGUUUUCGUUCAUUAGCCUUUUCUUAUAGUGGACGUAAAAUCUUUUUGCGACCUUUUUACUAGGUGACUUUUGGGUUAUGUAGAGAUUUGUAGUUAUUUUUUUCCUGGAUCAGAUUUUGCGUUACAUUAUGUUUAAUUAAUGUGUACCUUUAGUUUUAUCUUACUUUGUUUGCGAGAUGCUAAUUGUGUGUCAGAGUUUUCGACAGCAAGAUCACCAUAAUGAGGUAGCUAUCUUGAUUUCAUUUGUGUUUUCUUGGCACAAAUGUACAAUGUAACUUUUCAUAAUAAUUAUUCCAUGCAUCAUUGGUACCAUAGCAUUGCUUCUGGAGUUGACAUUCAAUUUUCUGGUGGUUUUGGCGGUGGUGAUGGUACAGGGUCGGUGAUGAGUGAUAGAAGAAGUACAACUCUAUCAACGGAGAAAAUAUACUCUUGACGGAGGCCAUGACGGGUAGCUAGAUCCAAAACGCAGAGAAUCAAGGUUUAUUUUCCUGGUGUCCUAUGUCACCGUUGAUACUAUUGUGGUACAUGAUCAAGGAUGGUACCAUUGACCCCGUGAAAAUGAGCCAAACUCCACUUCAAGGUGCAGCAAGGAAUUGUGUGAACACCAACCUCAGAGAUGGAACAAGGAGUUCACAUUCGCAUUGAUCAUCCUUGGGGAUUAAGAGGAAUUCGGGGGCUCUACUUUCAAAUUGGCAUCAAGCUUCACGAUGUGGUGACCUGCUAGGAUGGGUGACAUUUAUCUCUCUUCCUUGCAUCUCAUGCUUUAAAUUGGGUGUUGUUUGGUUUGUUCGGAUUUAUCACUAUGUUCCCGCGGAACUAAUCAGUGUUGUGGAAUAUUAGAAAUAUUUGAUGAGGUACAUUGAAAUUGGGUUGGUUUAUAACUUUGAUGAAAAAUUAUUUUCUUUUAAUUCGAUUACUCCUUAUACU